UACGUAGGGUGCAAGCGUUGUCCGGAAUUAUUGGGCGUAAAGAGCUCGUAGGUGGUUUGUCGCGUUGUUCGUGAAAACUCACAGCUUAACUGUGGGCGUGCGGGCGAUACGGGCAGACUUGAGUACUGCAGGGGAGACUGGAAUUCCUGGUGUAGCGGUGGAAUGCGCAGAUAUCAGGAGGAACACCGAUGGCGAAGGCAGAUCUCUGGGCUGUAACUGACGCUGAGGAGCGAAAGCGUGGGGAGCGAACAGG
rnacentral:rRNA from 1 species